GAUGAACGCUGGCGGCGUGCUUAACACAUGCAAGUCGAACGGAAAGGCCCAAGCUUGCUUGGGUACUCGAGUGGCGAACGGGUGAGUAACACGUGGGUGAUCUGCCCUGCACUUCGGGAUAAGCCUGGGAAACUGGGUCUAAUACCGGAUAGGACCACUUCUUGGAUGUUGUGGUGGAAAGUUUUUUCGGUGUGGGAUGAGCUCGCGGCCUAUCAGCUUGUUGGUGGGGUAAUGGCCUACCAAGGCGUCGACGGGUAGCCGGCCUGAGAGGGUGUACGGCCACAUUGGGACUGGGAGACGGCCCAGACUCCUACGGGGGGCAGCAGUGGGGAAUAUUGCACAAUGGGGGCAAGCCUGAUGCAGCGACGCCGCGUGGGGGAUGACGGCCUUCGGGUUGUAAACUCCUUUCGCUAGGGACGAAGCGUUUUGUGACGGUACCUGGAGAAGAAGCACCGGCUAACUACGUG
rnacentral:rRNA from 1 species